CCUACGGGUGGCUGCAGUCGAGAAUCAUUCACAAUGGGGGAAACCCUGAUGGUGCGACGCCGCGUGGGGGAAUGAAGGUCUUCGGAUUGUAAACCCCUGUCAUGUGGGAGCAAAUUAAAAAGAUAGUACCACAAGAGGAAGAGACGGCUAACUCUGUGCCAGCAGCCGCGGUAAUACAGAGGUCUCAAGCGUUGUUCGGAAUCACUGGGCGUAAGGCGUGCGUAGGCUGUUUCGUAAGUCGUGUGUGAAAGGCGCGGGCUCAACCCGCGGACGGCACAUGAUACUGCGAGACUAGAGUAAUGGAGGGGGAAGCGGAAUUCUCGGUGUAGCAGUGAAAUGCGUAGAUAUCGAGAGGAACACUCGUGGCGAAGGCGGGUUCCUGGACAUUAACUGACGCUGAGGCACGAAGGCCAGGGGAGCGAAAGGGAUUAGAUACCCCAGUAGUC
rnacentral:rRNA from 1 species